rnacentral:rRNA from 1 species
GACGUAGGGCGCGAGCGUUGUUCGGAGUUACUGGGCGUAAAGGGUGUGUAGGCGGUUGUUUAAGUUUGGUGUGAAAUCUCCCGGCUCAACUGGGAGGGUGCGCCGAAUACUGAAUGACUAGAGUGCGGGAGAGGAAAGUGGAAUUCCUAGUGUAGGAGUGAAAUCCGUAGAGAUUAGGAGGAAUAUCGAUGGCGAAGGCAGCUUUCUGGGACAUUUCUGACGCUGAGAAACGAAAGCGUGGGUAGCAAACAGG